rnacentral:rRNA from 1 species
AUUGAACGCUGGCGGCAGGCUUAACACAUGCAAGUCGAGCGAGCGGCGGACGGGUGAGUAAUGUCUGGGAAACUGCCUGAUGGAGGGGGAUAACUACUGGAAACGGUAGCUAAUACCGCAUACCAUCAGAUGUGCCCAGAUGGGAUUAGAUAGUAGGUGGGGUAAUGGCUCAACUAGGCGACGAUCCCUAGCUGGUCUGAGAGGAUGACCAGCCACACUGGAACUGAGACAGGGGUCAGACUCCGAAGGGAGGCAGCAGUGGGCAAUAGUGCACAAUGGGCGCAAGCCGGAGUCAGCCCUGCCGCGUGUGUGAAGAAGGCCUUCGGGUCGUAAAGCACUUGCAGCGGGGAGGCGUUCCUCUAAGAAGAAGCACCGGCUAACCCCGUGCCAGCAGCCGCGGUAAUUC